CAACCGUGAUAUCUUCAAAACUUCCAAAAACCUUAAUUGCUUCCCCAUAUUCAUAGUGGUUUUCUCCUUUCUUUUGCACUAUGCUAUGUAUAGUCAAUAGGCUGGGUAAAAACUGUUUUUACUUUGAUGCUGAGGAAUGCAUACCAAUUCUUAAGGACAACAUCACUCCUCUCAUCAGGGCAAUUUUCCCAUAUGUGUGCAACUGCUUGUCCCCCCACCCCUGCAGGCCAUGAAAAAGGUGACUCGUCAUAUCCUGCCACCCAUUUAGUAUGUUCUGUAGGGGUUAAUACUGUCUCCAUUAACUCAUUAAGAUCUUAUGUUGUGGGGAAAUAGCUGGCACACAUUAUUUUUAAAUGUUUUACAAACCCAUUUGGAUCUAGAGGGGGCAGGAAAUGAUACCUGUAAAAAUGCUAUGUCUUGUGGGCUCCACGGUUGACAAAUCCUCCGUGGUCUCCCAUCAUUAUCCAUCUGUCCCACUUCUCUAAUAGGUAAAAUCAUAGCCUCACUCCCAUCACUCUCAGGCAACACAUUGCUACAUCCUGAUAAACCUGAUAGUAACCACAGCAUGAUCAGCAAAUCUUUUAGGCAGUCUAAUAUCCCUCUCAGGUCUACCACCUCAAUGCAACAUGGCUGAGGCACCAGCUAAAUUUUGGGGUACAAGCUGUGGUGCAUCAUUCAUCUGCUGAGGGGAGGUGACCCAAAGAGGGAUUCAUAAUCUCAUGAUUAAUCAAAAAAAUCCUCAUCAUCAUUAUAAGGCGGAGGAUUUUUAACAUUUCUUUUUAAAUUGUACAGUGAGGGAUACAAACAGGCAACACCAGUACCCUCUCCUUUACGUGCCCCUCCUGUUGCACCAGACUGGGGGGAACAUUCUUGCUUUUUCUUUUCAAUUUCCUCAUGCCAUAACAUAUAUGCAGACCAUUCCAGUUUUGAAAGACUUUUUCCAUUUAACAACAUUG